rnacentral:tRNA from 1 species
GGUUAGGUAUAGCUCAGUGGUAAAGCACUUGCCUAGCAUGCACGAGGUCCUGAGUUCAAUCCUCAGUAUCACCA